AUUUGGUCAGACAACAUGGAAACCGGAUUGGCCUUCAGUGGUGUGGGAUCCCCACCAAGAAGUCAAUUCAAAAAUGAUAUGGGAUUAAACUGGAAAUAUGAAAAUCGGAAGAAUUCGUAAAAUGGACAGUUUGUUCGACAGGUCCUCUCAGCUUCAUGAGGAAAUUUGUGAUGAGUUUCCAGUAGGAAACAUCCUGACAGUUCCAGGUGGUGCCCCGUAGUGGACAGAGCCCUCUACAAAACUGUUAACACCCACUGAGCACAGCUGCAUCUCUUCCUCUCCUCAGAAGACCCACAUUUGUUGAACUAUUUGUAAAUCUUUAUAUUUUCUUGCUUCUACAGGUCUGAUGUUGUGUUGGUAUUAUUAAAUGGCCUUUUCUGUCUAAA